AAAAGGAUGAGUUCCUGGCGACACGUAUUUUACGAGCAGUACAUGAGGGAAUCAAGACUCACUCUGUCAUCGUUUUCUUUAUCUGACUCUCAAACUUCCGCUUACCCAAUGGUUAGACAUAAAUACGGGCUUUCAACUGCCACCCAAAUCAGUCGGUUGUCAGGAAGAUGGGAUUAAACUGUGCCUUCCUUGUAAUAGCUGUGUUCGGUGCCCUAACCCUGGCAUCGCCACUAGAUAAUGUCAAUAAUAAUGACCUUAACGACAAUGAUGAAUCGAACCAGACACACGGAUUAACUGGUCAGAAAUUGUCAGCAGCACAGAUCCCUUAUGAAACAAUAGAGGUCAGUUGG